GACGUAGGUGGCAAGCGUUGUUCGGAAUCACUGGGCAUAAAGCGCGCGUAGGCGGCUAAGUCAGUCGGGUGUGAAAGCCCUCGGCUCAACCGAGGAACUGCGCCCGAUACUGCUUGGCUUGAGGAUCGGAGGGGAGAGUGGAAUUCCCGGUGGAGCGGUGAAAUGCGUAGAGAUCGGGAAGAACGCCGGCGGCGAAAGCGACUCUCUGGUCGACACCUGACGCUGAGGCGCGAAAGCUAGGGGAGCAAACGGG
rnacentral:rRNA from 1 species